CACGUAGGGUGCGAGCGUUGUCCGGAAUUAUUGGGCGUAAAGAGCUCGUAGGCGGUGUGUCGCGUCGGCCGUGAAAACCUGCAGCUUAACUGUGGGCUUGCGGUCGAUACGGGCAUCACUGGAGUUCGGCAGGGGAGACUGGAAUUCCUGGUGUAGCGGUGAAAUGCGCAGAUAUCAGGAGGAACACCGGUGGCGGCGAAGGCGCCACUCUGGGCCGGUACUGACGC
rnacentral:rRNA from 1 species